GACGAACGCUGGCGGCGUGCCUAACACAUGCAAGUCAACUUGACUGAAGGAGCAAUCUGACAGUAGAGUGGCGCAAGGGUGCGUAACGCGUAAGUAACUUGCCCCAAGGUAAGGAAUAACGUCGAGAAAUCGGCGCUAAUACCUCAUAAUGCAGCGGAUCCGCAUGGAUAUGUUGUUAAAGGUUUACCGCCUUGGGAUAGGCUUGCGUCUGAUUAGCUAGUUGGUGUGGUAACGGCACACCAAGGCUACGAUCAGUAACUGGUCUGAGAGGAUGAUCAGUCACACUGGAACUGAGACACGGUCCAGACUCCUACGGGAGGCAGCAGUGAGGAAUAUUGGGCAAUGCUCGAAAGAGUGACCCAGCAACGCCGCGUGGAGGAUGAAGGUAUUCUAUAUCGUAAACUCCUGUGAGAGCAGACGAAAGACAGAUUAUUAAUCUGGAUGACUGUAUGCUCAGAGG
rnacentral:rRNA from 1 species